rnacentral:tRNA from 1 species
GGCAGAGUGGCCCAGUGGGUAGGGUACUGGAGUGAGAAUUAGGAAAUCUGGCUUCCAGUCCCAGCUCUGCCG